UAAGACCAACGAUUGGCCUUCGGUUUCCCGUGUUCUUUUGUGGAGUCUGACGUAAGUCCAGCGAUUGGCAGUCGGUUUCCAGUUUGUGUUUGUGCGUUCGCUUUGACGUCUCAUCGUCUUCUUUCAGUGUUUUGUUUUGGCGUGCGUUAGUCGAGCUACGAGUGCUCUGAUUCUUCUCUGGUUAGAGAAGAUACGUAUGCAUAGGAUGCGAU
rnacentral:lncRNA from 1 species